AGUGAACGCUGGCGGUAGGCCUAACACAUGCAAGUCGAACGGCAGCACAGUAAGAGCUUGCUCUUACGGGUGGCGAGUGGCGGACGGGUGAGGAAUACAUCGGAAUCUACUUUUUCGUGGGGGAUAACGUAGGGAAACUUACGCUAAUACCGCAUACGACAUACGGGUGAAAGCAGGGGAUCUUCGGACCUUGCGCGAUUGAAUGAGCCGAUGUCGGAUUAGCUAGUUGGCGGGGUAAAGGCCCACCAAGGCGACGAUCCGUAGCUGGUCUGAGAGGAUGAUCAGCCACACUGGAACUGAGACACGGUCCAGACUCCUACGGGAGGCAGCAGUGGGGAAUAUUGGACAAUGGGCGCAAGCCUGAUCCAGCCAUACCGCGUGGGUGAAGAAGGCCUUCGGGUUGUAAAGCCCUUUUGUUGGGAAAGAAAAGCAGCAGGUUAAUACCCCGCUGUUCUGACGUUACCCAAAGAAUAAGCACCGGCUAACUUCGUG
rnacentral:rRNA from 1 species